AAGCAGGACCCAGUGCUCCAUCGCGGUGCCUCCACCUCACUCACUGAUACAUAAGAGACACAAUGACCAGAAGCUCCUGGAACUCACCAACAAGAUCAUUCAGCUGCUGACUGGAGAGGAGGGGGAGUAUAUAGAGGAACACAGGGGUCUGUACAAGGACGUGAUGAUGGAGAAUCACCGGACCCUCACAUCACUGGAUGGACCCAGUAACAGAGAUACCCUAGAGAGAUGUCCCCGUCCUCUGUAUUCCUAGGAUU